GUUGAUUGGGGGGAGGGCGGCCAGCGCAGGAUCUGGGGUGCAGAGUGCUCUGUGAAGGUGCUUGUGUCCUAGAGUUUAGAGGGACGCGUGAUGAACUUGCAAGGCGAGAGAACCAUUCCCCGGCCCCUUGGUCUCGCGUGAUGGGGCAGGACCCCAGCCCACCUGGCCGCCCCAGAUGCAAAGCUCCGCUCCUCCGAAGCCCCGGUCCUUCCAGGGCGCUGCGCAGGCAGGUGGCUGGGUGGAGGCAGCGCAGCGGUCCCGGAGGUCCCAGAGCCGGUGCGGUUGGCUCAGUGGUCAGGCGUGUUUCUGGUGUUGUGCCCUCAACCUGC
ensembl:scaRNA